GAACUGAAGAGUUUGAUCCUGGCUCAGAUUGAACGCUGGCGGCAUGCCUUACACAUGCAAGUCGAACGGCAGCACGGGAGCAAUCCUGGUGGCGAGUGGCGAACGGGUGAGUAAUAUAUCGGAACGUGCCCAGUCGUGGGGGAUAACGCAGCGAAAGCUGUGCUAAUACCGCAUACGAUCUAUGGAUGAAAGCGGGGGACUCGCAAGGGCCUCGCGCGAUUGGAGCGGCCGAUAUCAGAUUAGCUAGUUGGUGGGGUAAAAGCCCACCAAGGCGACGAUCUGUAGCUGGUCUGAGAGGACGACCAGCCACACUGGAACUGAGACACGGUCCAGACUCCUACGGGAGGCAGCAGUGGGGAAUUUUGGACAAUGGGCGCAAGCCUGAUCCAGCAAUGCCGCGUGCAGGAUGAAGGCCUUCGGGUUGUAAACUGCUUUUGUACGGAACGAAACGGUCUGCCCUAAUACGGUGGGCUAAUGACGGUACCGUAAGAAUAAGCACCGGCUAACUACGUGCCAGCAGCCGCGGUAAUACGUAGGGUGCGAGCGUUAAUCGGAAUUACUGGGCGUAAAGCGUGCGCAGGCGGUUAUAUAAGACAGAUGUGAAAUCCCCGGGCUCAACCUGGGACCUGCAUU
rnacentral:rRNA from 1 species